rnacentral:lncRNA from 13 species
UCGGGAUGUGGACAGGAAGCUAGGGUUAGGGUUUGGGUUGAGUCGGGAUGUGGACAGGAAGCUAGGGUUAGAGUUUGGGUUGAGUCGGGAUGUGGACAUGAAGCUAGGGUUAGGGUUAGGGUUGAGUCGGGAUGUGGACAGGAAGUUAUGGUUAGGGUUUGGGUUGAGUCAGGAUGUGGACAUGAAGAUGUGUGCACCAGUGGUCUCAACCUUAUUCAUAUCGGUCUGGUAUAUAAAAACAUUUACAAACCCUUUACGGGUUUCUUUGCGGUUCCUUUACGGUUUCUUUACGGUUCCUUUACAGCAAAGGACUCUCUCUCCAAACAACCUGCACGGCCCACAAAUGUUUCUCCCACUGUCUAAACAAAGGUAAUGCUGUGUCAUUCAAGCUUGACUCAGAGCAGUAAAAAAAAGCAAUCAAAUCUGCAUUAGAAACACACACACACACACACAGAGAGGGAGGUUUGUGUGUCUUCCUGCCGCUUCUUCAGGCUAGUUCAAACAGCCUCCGUCUUGGCCAGAAGAACUGGAGAGGUUUUUAUUUUUAAAAUCUGACUGUGCAGGCAACAGCCUGGGCUUUGAACAGAGGAGCAGGAGGAGUAAUGUAGGAGAGUUGUGACAGGAAGGAGCUUUCAGGCCAAGCAACGUUUGGCAACGGUAAUCGCUGUUUACACAAUGGAGCAAUUACUCAGUAAAUUGCAGAGAAAAGAGAGGAAAAGGGGGGAGGAGAGAGAGAGAGAGCGAAAGGGUAGCUAGGCAAAGCCCUGCUGACAGACGUACUAACAGGGAGUUUAUUGUGUUGGUUCAUGUCUUUGAUGGAGCCGGCUCUGUGUUACAGUUUAAUGGCCUCAGGUUUGGGCGUGGCUGGCUGGCUGGCUGCACUUUAAAACACACACCUUUAGCCCCGGUGCUCUCAGAGCAAUUACUGUCAAGUCAGUCCAGAAAAAAAACAACAAACCCUUGUGAUUUUACUACAAUUUGCCUCCAGAUUCACAUUCCUCGUCCGCGCCCCAAUAACACGUUCAUCAUCGGAGAGCUGAUGGAAUACCUUGCCUUGCAAAUCCACCCAGUAAACAAGUUUGUAAAACAAAGCACCAGAACGCAUCCCGCAGAAAGUCUUCACAUCUCUAUGUUCACGUCGUUAACGUGAAACAGAAUGUGUUCUUACCAGAUGAAAUACAGUUAAGAGUGAUGUGACGGGGGUGGGGGUGGGGGUGGGGGGGUUUGAGGUAGCAUCAUUGAUAUGAAGACUUGACAUCACAAAGGGUUUCAUGCUAUUAACCAAACGGACUAGCAUUGCAAACAGACAUUCCAGGCAAGCCGGGCGUAUUUGGACUUAUUUGAGUGUGUCACAAACUAUUUUUCUUCCCGUUUGUCACAAAGCCACAGGAAAAGCCUUUGUUUUGGGAAGCAGUGUGGGCUUUAAUUGACAUUUCCUCUGUGAGUUUCAUUAAUAAAACAGGGAAGGAUUCCCAGUUGGGCUGAACAGGCUCAGAGGGAGGGCUCUACAGUCUCACCCCAGGGCACAGCUGAGUACACAAAGCUUUGGCUCUCCAAUCACAGGCACAGACCCCCAGAAAGGAACAGACCCCCAGAAAGGAACAGACCCCCAGAAAGGAACAGACCCCCAGAAAGGAACAGACCCCCAGAAAGGCACAGACCCCCAGAACGGAACAGACCCCCAGAACGGAACAGACCCCCAGAACGGAACANNNNNNNNNNCUUGACAUCACAAAGGGUUUCAUGCUAUUAACCAAACGGACUAGCAUUGCAAACAGACAUUCCAGGCAAGCCGGGCGUAUUUGGACUUAUUUGAGUGUGUCACAAACUAUUUUUCUUCCCGUUUGUCACAAAGCCACAGGAAAAGCCUUUGUUUUGGGAAGCAGUGUGGGCUUUAAUUGACAUUUCCUCUGUGAGUUUCAUUAAUAAAACAGGGAAGGAUUCCCAGUUGGGCUGAACAGGCUCAGAGGGAGGGCUCUACAGUCUCACCCCAGGGCACAGCUGAGUACACAAAGCUUUGGCUCUCCAAUCACAGGCACAGACCCCCAGAAAGGAACAGACCCCCAGAAAGGAACAGACCCCCAGAAAGGAACAGACCCCCAGAAAGGAACAGACCCCCAGAAAGGCACAGACCCCCAGAACGGAACAGACCCCCAGAACGGAACAGACCCCCAGAACGGAACANNNNNNNNNNCAGCUAGCCAGUCAGUCAGCUAGCCAGUCAGUCAGCUAGCCAGUCAGUCAGCCAGCCAGUCAGUCAGCCAGCCAGCUAGCCAGUCAGUCAGCUAGCCAGUCAGUCAGCUAGUCAGUCAGCCAGCCAGUCAGUCAGCUAGCCAGCCAGCCAGCCAGCCAGUCAGUCAGACUUCGUGCUCAUCUGAACCAACACAGAUCCAAAGUGACAGCCUCUGAUGAAUAAUACAAUAGAGAGACACAAGUGUUCCCAUUCUGUCUGCAUCUGUCCCUCUCUCUGGGGUAGAAGUGUGUCACCCUCCCUCAUUCAGAACAGAGUUUAAUGAAGCAGCAGACACAUUAACAGGGGAGCCUCAGGACUCAGCCGCGCGGCGACUUUGUUAACGAACCUCGCAUGGGUGUCUGACUCUGUGUGUGUGUGUGUGUGUGUGUGUGUGUGUGUGUGUGUGUGGGAGCUCCCGCACAAAGAGGAAAAGAAAGACAGUUGUCAUCGGAUUUGUUGUCAGAUGAAAUACCCAGGAGCAGAGCGGAUAAUUAAAACAGAGGGAGGUGACUGUAAAGACUCCCCACUGAGGAGGAGAGGGAGAGAGGGAGGAGGAGAGAGGAGAGGGAUGAAGAGACGGAGGAGGAGAGGGAGAAUAAGAGAGGAGAGGGAGGAAGAGAGGAAGAGGAGAGGGAGAAUAGGGAGGAAGAGAGGAGGAGGAGACUACACCCACAGACAGAACUCCAACCCCCUCAGUGUGCCGUAGAGUACACCCCCAGACACAAUCACAUACUUUCUGCCACUCUGUGCUGCUUCUGCCUGUCUCUCUGCAUCUCCCCCUCCCUCCCUCCCCCUCCUGUUUCUAUUGCAGCCAGAGGCCUUGAGGUUCUUUGGCUGCGGUUGGCGGGGCACAACAGCCAUUACUGUGGGAGGUUGGCUGGCUGUGUCUGGGCGACUGCUCUGUUCCAGCUCCUAACUCAUUGAGUGGUUUAGUGUCUGAGGGCCCCCUGUGGUGCAGAGCUGCCGCGUUCAGCUACUGCGAGUUACCGUUACUCACGCCCCAGUUUGCCCAUUUGGAGCCCUGUUUUGCAGUCUGUUUAGCUUUCUUGAAAGGCUUGCGCUCCAACUGACAGAUGAGCCAAUGUUACGCACAAGAGGUCUCUGGGACGGCGCUCCGCAUGCAGACAGUCCUUGUUUUCCAUGCUGACUGAGGCAUAUACAGUGCAUUGGGAAAGUAUUCAGACCCCUUGACUUUUUCCACAUUUUGUUACGUUACAGCCUUAAAUGUAUUACAUUUUUAAAAAUCCUCAUCAAUCUACACACAAUACCGCAUACAAAGUGAAAAGAGGUUUAGAUUUUUUGGCAAAUGUUUUAAAAAAACAAAACAGAAAUACCUUAUUUACAUAAGUUUUCAGACCCUUUGAUCUGAGACUCGAAAUUGAGCUCAGGUGCAUUCUGUUUCCAUUGAUCAUCCUUGAUGUUUCUCCAACUUGAUUGGAGUCCACCCGUGAGGAAUUCAUUUGAUUGGACAUGAUUUGGAAAAGCACACACCUGUCUAUAUAAAGGUCCCACAGUUGGAGGUGCAUGGGCUCUCUAGUAGCGCAGUGGUCUAAGGCAGAGACAUCACUACAGACACCCUGGUUCGAAUCCAGGCUGUAUCCCAACUCGCCAAGAUUGGGAGUCCCAUAGGGCGGUGCACAAUUGGCCCAGCGUUGUCCGGGUUUGGCCGGUGUAGGCCGUCAUUGUAAAUGAGAAUUUGUUCUUAACUGACUUAACUAGUUAAAUAAAAUAAAAAAUGUCAGAGCAAAAACCAAGCCAUGAGGUCAAAAGAAUUGUACGUAGAGUUCCGAGACAGGAUUGUGUCGAGGCACAAAUCUUUGGAAGGGUACCAACACAUUUCUGCAGCAUUGAAGGUACCCAAGAACAGAAUGACCUCCAUCAUUCUGAAAUGGAAGAAGUUUGGAACCACCAAGAAUCUUCCUAGAGCUGGGAGCCUGGCCAAAUUGAGCAAUCAGGGGAGAAGGCCCUUGGCCAGGGAGAUGACCAAGAACCCAAUGGUCACUCUGACAGAGCUCCAGAGUUCUGUGUGAGAUGGGAGAACCUUCCAGAAGGACAACCAUUCCUGCAGCACUCCACCAAUCAGGCCUUUAUGGUAGAUGGAAGCCACUCCUCAGUAAAAGGCACAUGACAGCUCGCUUGGUGUUUGACAAAAGACACCUAAAGGAUUAUCAGACCAUGAGAAACAAGAUUAUCUGGUCUGGAGCAAACCUGGCACCAUGAAGCAUGCUGGUGGAAGCAUCAUGCUGUGGGGAUUAUUUUCAGAGGCAGGGACUGGGAGACUAGUCAGUAUCGAGGGAAAGAUGAAUGGAGAAAAGUACAGAGAUCCUUGAUGAAAAUCUGCUCAGGACCUCAGACUGGGGUGAAAGUUCACCUUCCAACAGGAUAGCGACCCUAAGCGCACAACCAAGACAACGCAGGAGUGACUUCGGGACAAGUCUCUGAAUGUCCUUGAGUGGCCCAUCCAGAGCCUGGACUUGAACCCAAUCGAACAUCUCUGUAGAGACCUGAAAAUAGCUGUGCAGCGACGCUCCCCAUCCGACCUGACAGAGCUUGAGAGAAUCAGGAGAGAAGAAUAGGAAAAACUCCCCAAAUACAGGUGUGCCAAGCUUGAAGCAUUAUACCCAAGAAGAUUUGAGGCUGUAAUCGCUGCCAAAAGGUACAUUAAUCAACAAAGUACUGAGUAAAUGGUCUUAAUACUUAUGUAAAUCAGUUUUUUAUUUUUAUACAUUUAUACAUUUCUAAGAACCUUUUUUUGCUUUGUCAUUAUGGGGUAUUGUGAUGUC